CUUCGUUCUCUUCUGAUAUUUUGAUCUGAGACUGAGAGAGACUUCUCUGCUGAACUAUCUCGAUCUAGAGACGUCGGCUCAAUUCCAUUGGAGAUUCUGAGAUUUCGCUGCUAAAUGGAGGACAUGGGAGGCCGACAUGGACUAACGAUUCGAAGAUGGAGGUUUCUGGGGAGGCCAGCAUACGAACCGUCGUCGUCGUCGCCCUUGGUGUUCGCAUCACGAGGGAUCUGCGGGAAAUUUGCAUGAAAUCUUCGAAAGCGUAGCAUCGAAGAAAUUUGUGCAUACGAACCGUCGUCGUCGGCCUUGGUGCUCUCGAUCUGCGAGACAUUUGCAUGAAAUAUCGCAGAAGCUUGUGAUCGGCCUCGAUUUCCGAGACCUUGGCUGGGUUGGGUAAAGAGAAGCAUCUUCAGACCCAUUCAUUGCAUAGCUUCCACUUCCAGCGAAGAUCUUCAGGCCCAAACUUUUCGGUUACACCCCCAGUAAUUGCAAUUUGGGAGGGACUAGUAUUUCUGAUAUCAAUUUUCGGGGAUCAGUACUUCCGUAAUUUUGGCCCAAAAGUUCCCAACUCGUUCCAAGAAAUUUACACCUUCGUGUAUUUUAUCGGUUUUUCAUCUGUAUUUUUUUGCCAAUACUUGAUAUUCUUUUCUGCAGCUAUGCUUCUGUUUAUAUGAAUUAAUUUGGUUGUUAUCUGUCUUUUUUGAACAGCCCUUAUGUAAAGAUUGAAAAUGCAAAAAGGUCCCUGCCGAGAAGGCAUGGGUUUGUUUAAGAUGAAGCGAAGGUUGCUGCUGAGAAGGCUUGGGAUCUUGAACAGAACGGAAUGCUAUUUUGUGUAAUGAAUAAGGACAAUGAAUUACUGAAAACAAAAAACAAUUAGAUAGCAGGUAAAAACAAUUGCAUGAUAUGGAAAUAUGGCAUUAAUACGGCUACAUCUUUAGUCGGUAACAAUUAUUUGGACA